AGAGCAGUUUAACAAAUCCAUUAACGUAUUAAUUGCCUUUAUAACAUACCCAAAAGGAAUCUGGGGUCAUUGUGAUGAGGGCCACAAAACUUGUGACUUACCCACAAACAAAUUCCCUACAUGU